UUGCUGUGCACUUUGGCCGGUGGGAAGCUCGGCUUGUUGUACUUGGGGUGAUCAUGGUGGAAAUGCGGGAUAUGUUUCAUGUGAGGCAACGUCUUCUUGGGCAUCGGAUGGUACUUGAUCGUGGGGUGCUCGUGGUGAGGCAUCGGGGACGGCUUGUAGACCGGCGCAGCAGGUGGGUUAUAGUAUCCCCCUGACGGCGGCUUGUGCAUCGGCGCAGGUGGUUGGUAGUAUCCCCCUGACGGCGGACUGUGCACCGGCGCAGGUGGUUGGUAGUAUCCCCCCGACGGUGCCUUGUGCACCGGCGCAGGUGGGUUGUAGGUAGGGGGGCUGUAAACUGGGUGUGGGUGGUAGUGAGACUUGGGUGGGAAUUUGUAGUGUGGCAUAUGUAACUUGGGGUGCUUCUUUUUCCAUGCCAGCGGAGGGCAGGGGUAGAAGGUGGCCGACGCGCAGGUGGCCGACGAGAACGACAGCUUCCCGGACGCCGCAACGAACGUGUGCUUUCCCUCGUCCUUGGACUUGAGGAUCAGCUUGGAAGGGUUGAGGGCGUUGUUCUUGUCAGGGCAAGGUGCGUUGGAGGUGUUGUGGAGCUGCGCGAAGCACUCGUGCUUCAG
rnacentral:lncRNA from 1 species